GUUACGAGGAGAGGGAAGCAUGAAGCAUAUAUAAAGAUCAUAACUACGUAUGAAGAUACGAUGAAAGAAAGGAUCAACAUGGGACGGAACAUUAAGCACGAACAAAUGACCUACCAGUAGCUGUCUUUCUCUCCAAUUCCACAUCGGGCUUGGCCCGGUUCAAAACCUUUUGGAAGUCAGCAACACGCUUACGCAUACGUUGGUGCAUGUAAGCCUUGGAAGCCUUAAUGUGAAAGUGUAGGGUGUUGCGGAAAACCUGGAUAUGAGAUAUGCAAUCUUCACGAUUUUGAGGUGUAAAAUGACGCUCAAAUAAAACGAAUGUUACAAAUCCAAAGUCAUCACCCUUUUGAAUACCCUGAAUAUCACGAAUCUCCAAAGGUGGAUCUCUAUAGGAAAAGAGCACUUGAGGAGCGGUUUGAAUAGCCGGACGGCGACGGGCAUCAACGAAUUCCUGCAAGAAUACCUUGCCAAAGAUGCGAUCAGUCUCUUCACGGAAUUUCGUUGAAAAGACGACUGUAACGCGAUCAUGCUCAGGCCAUAAAACAAUAGUUUCUUCAUCAC